rnacentral:rRNA from 1 species
AGAGUUUGAUCCUGGCUCAGAACGAACGCUGGCGGCAUGCCUAACACAUGCAAGUCGCACGAGAAAGCCCGGUUCGCCGGGCGAGUAAAGUGGCGCACGGGUGAGUAACGCGUGGAUAAUCUACCUCUUUCUGGGGGAUAACGCACCGAAAGGUGCGCUAAUACCGCAUAACCCGGUUGGUCUUAGGGUCGAUUGGUAAAGGUGGCCUCUUCAUGAAAGCUACCGGGAAGAGAUGAGUCCGCGUCCCAUUAGCUUGUUGGUAGGGUAACGGCCUACCAAGGCGACGAUGGGUAGCUGGUCUGAGAGGACGAUCAGCCACACUGGAACUGGAACACGGUCCAGACUCCUACGGGAGGCAGCAGUGAGGAAUAUUGCGCAAUGGGGGAAACCCUGACGCAGCGAUGCCGCGUGAGUGAAGAAGGCCUUCGGGUCGUAAAGCUCUGUCAAGUGGGAAGAACAGCCUUAAGGUGAAUAUCCUUAGGGUGUGACGGUACCACUGAAGGAAGCACCGGCUAACUCCGUGCCAGCAGCCGCGGUAAGACGGAGGGUGCAAGCGUUAUUCGGAUUUAUUGGGCGUAAAGAGCGUGUAGGCGGUCGGUCAAGUCAGAUGUGAAAGCCCAGGGCUUAACCCUGGAAGUGCAUUUGAAACUGGUCGACUUGAGUUCGGGAGAGGGAAGUGGAAUUCCGGGUGUAGAGGUGAAAUUCGUAGAUAUCCGGAGGAACACCGGUGGCGAAGGCGACUUCCUGGACCGAAACUGACGCUGAGACGCGAAAGCGUGGGGAGCAAACAGGAUUAGAUA